AAGAAGUAAGACGAACCAGAAAAGAAUUAGCGUAUUAUUGUGAUGGCUGGAUUCAUAUGUGGGGAUGUAUGACUUGGAAGUACUACUGGAGAACCGUUUACUAUAAUGAAACAAUUUGCAGCCCUGGAUGGACACACAAUGGGGAUCAAGACUGUUCUAUAAGAAUCUGAUUUCGUCAAAUUCGCAGGAUAUAUACAAUUUUAGUAUUUACUUUUAUGAAGACAUACAAAAUUAUUCCAAAUUCUAAAUUGAUGUGUUCAAGGAGGCCUGCUUUGGCUUAUUUCAAGACAAAUAAUUAUGUCUGUUGUAUAGUGCAUUUUUUUUAGAAAUGAAAAAUGUUGUUGUUUCGUUGUGUUUCAAAUUUUAGAAGGAAAAAAAAACAUUUGCCUCUGCUUAAAACCACUUCAUCAGUUAAGUUGUA